rnacentral:lncRNA from 1 species
GUGACUUAUCCACCAGUUAUUUAAUAGAAUGAUUUUCAGGAUAACAAGCUACACAGAAAACACAUCGCAUUCUUCUUGGAAUUCAUUUUGAAGUCUUUUGAGAUUUAGAAUUUUAUUUUAUUUUAUUUAUUUAUUUAUUUAUUUAUUUUUGUUGUUCCUUUAGAAUUUCCUGUGUUAUAUUUGGGGCAUAUGUGUUAUUACUCUACAAAUUUUAACAUAAUCUCCUCAGUGAAGCCUUAUCUAACAGAGACUGUUAAAUACCAAAAUAUCUGUCUCAUUUAGUAUAAAAGAUAGAGGUGCCAUAUGAAACUGAUAUCUACUCAAUGUAAAAAUUGAUAUCUAGCAUGCAGUUGCUUUGGUUUGGUGGUUCAAUGUUAGAACAAUUCUUUAUUAGUUUACCAUUACUCUCUUACCUUGUCUUAUGUUCCUCCUCCCCACAAUCCCUCUUGUAGUUUUCAACUAAGCAUAACGUCUAUACAUACGUGAUCUUUGAUCUCCUUCCCACCUUCUCUGAGAAAACAAUAUGAAGCUGAGGAAUUAAAAUGGCGGCUGUCAGACAGUAUCUGAAGAUCUCUGUCAUUGUACUGAAACUUAAGGACAGCUCUGCAGUCAGGUAUGUCAGCUUUCAGCCUCUUGUGUGACUUUUGUGUAACAAAUUCUAAAGAAAAUAAAACACAAAAUAGUCCUCAGGCCAUACAGAGGCUAUAUACAUUUUUGGAGGAGUGUAAAAAAAGACACGCUCAGUGGCAGACCUUAUACCAAAAAUCUUCAAUGGGUGAGGAGAAAGGCAUUCCCAGAGAGAAUUGUUCCCUUCCUAGGCAUGAGAUUUUUCCUGAGAAGAGGAUCAUUUCUGGGAGGAAACAUCUCAAUCCAAUUUGUGCACAGUUGUGAUCUGAUCUUUGCUAACUUAUGGACAUUGCACUUCCAGCCAAUUGGUUAAGGGAAACGGGCUUGGUCCUUGGCAGAGAGCUUGCCAUAGCUCAUCAGAAUUGAGAGAAGAGGUCUGAGGAUGCCUCAUACCUAUGUGACUUCAGUCAUUUGGUCUCAUUGUCCUGCACAGGUCAAAUACCUGAAGGUUGUUUUAAACUGGCAAAACCACUGGGAGGUAAGGAAGGAUUUUCUGGGUGAACUUUUUCACAAGACCGCAGUUGAUAGAACAACAUAAGACCAGAUCUUUGCUGCACAAGAAACCUUUCUCACCUGAAAACAUUAUCAAUUGCUAGCCAGAUCCACAAGAUGUAAAAUUAAAAUGGCUAUAUGUGUUGGCACAACACAGUCAGAGUGCAAUUCCAGAAAAAGGGAAUACAGAUAUGCCAAUGUGCUUUUUGUUGUCUUGUCUUAGUUUCUUUCCUUGUGAUUUUUCUAACAAAGCAAGUUUUUUGACUGAAAAUGUGUUGAAAAGAUUUGGAAAUGCUGGUACUUGGAAGGCUGUGGGAAUCCUUUUUCCCCAGCCAGCUUUCUCUUCCCUCCCUUACCCUGUCAACUAUCUUAGUUUGAAUGUAUAUGGUCCAGGAUGGAGAAUGUGCUAGAAAAUAAGCAAAGCAAAAUAUAACUGGGCAAAGCUUGUAACUGGAGAAUAAGAAGGUGUGAGAAAAUGAUAAGGCCUAUGAAAAUCAUGUAAAUAUUGAAACUUUAAAUAAAAGCUAACAAAAUAUUUUAGCA